rnacentral:rRNA from 1 species
UGUCCUCCAAAUAGGGACCAGCAUGAACGGCAACAUGAGAAAGAGCCUGUCUCUUUAGGCUAGUCAGUGAAACUGAUCUGCCUGUACAAAAGCAGGCAUAAAGAAGCAAGACAAAAAGACCCUGUGAAACUUUAAAUACUCUUCAACCACAUGAUAGACUAUUUUCGGUUGGGGCAACCAAUGAGAAGCAAACCUCAUAACAUCAUAAGGCCUACAAGCCAAAUGAACAUUAACGAUCCAGUACUACUGAUCAAAGGACCAAGCUACUCCAGGGAUAACAGCGCCACAUUCUUUUAGAGUCCAUAUCGAUAAGAAUACCUACGACCUCGAUGUUGGAUCAGGGCCCCCCAAUGGCGCAAAAGCUAUUAAAGGUUCGUUUGUUCAACGAUUAAAGC